rnacentral:tRNA from 1 species
GCGGUUAUAGCUCAGUUGGUUAGAGCGCUACACUGAUAAUGUAGAGGUCCCAAGUUCAAGUCUUGGUAACCGCA